GAAACCCUGUGGGAAGCAGGAGGGACCAUCCUCCAAGGCUAAAUACUACUUAGUGACCGAUAGCGCAUAGUACCGUGAGGGAAAGGUGAAAAGAACCCCGGGAGGGGAGUGAAAUAGAACCUGAAACCGUGUGCCUACAAACAGUCGGAGGGCAGUAACCACCCAACAAAACUUGUUUUGUUGGGAACCCGGUUCGCCUGACGGCGUGCUUUUUGUAGAACGAGCCAGCGAGUUACGGUAUGUAGCGAGGUUAAGCCAUUAAGUGGCGAAGCCGUAGGGAAACCGAGUCUGAAUAGGGCGUUAAGUUGCAUGCCGUAGACCCGAAACCGGGUGACCUAUCCAUGGACAGGGUGAAGGUGAGGUAAAACUCACUGGAGGCCCGAACCACGUUGGUGUUGAAAAACCAUGGGAUGAGCUGUGGAUAGCGGAGAAAUUCCAAUCGAACUCGGAGAUAGCUGGUUCUCCCCGAAAUAGCUUUAGGGCUAGCCUCGGGUUAGAGACAUGGAGGUAGAGCACUGAAUGGGCUAGGGGCCGUCUAGGUUACCGAACCUUAUCAAACUCCGAAUGCCAUUGUCUUGAUGCCCGGGAGUCAGACUACGAGUGAUAAGAUCCGUGGUCAAAAGGGAAACAGCCCAGACCAUCAGCUAAGGUCCCAAAGUGUAUGUUAAGUGGAAAAGGAUGUGGGAUUUCACAGACAACCAGGAUGUUGGCUUAG
rnacentral:rRNA from 1 species